rnacentral:rRNA from 1 species
CGGAGGGAGCUAGCGUUAUUCGGAAUUACUGGGCGUAAAGCGCGCGCAGGCGGUUUCUUAAGUCUGAUGUGAAAGCCCCCGGCUCAACCGGGGAGGGUCAUUGGAAACUGGGGAACGUUGAGUGCAGAAGAGGAGAGUGGAAUUCCACGUGUAGCGGUGAAAUGCGUAGAGAUGUGGAGGAACACCAGUGGCGAAGGCGACUCUCUGGUCUGUAACUGACGCUGAGGCGCGAAAGCGUGGGGAGCGAACAGGAUU